UAUUGAUUGGUGCUUGCAUCAUGAUUUACAUUUGAGUGAGUGGCGAACUGGUGAGUAACACGUGGGAAACCUGCCCAGAAGCGGGGGAUAACACCUGGAAACAGAUGCUAAUACCGCAUAACAACUUGGACCGCAUGGUCCGAGUUUGAAAGAUGGCUUCGGCUAUCACUUUUGGAUGGUCCCGCGGCGUAUUAGCUAGAUGGUGGGGUAACGGCUCACCAUGGCAAUGAUACGUAGCCGACCUGAGAGGGUAAUCGGCCACAUUGGGACUGAGACACGGCCCAAACUCCUACGGGAGGCAGCAGUAGGGAAUCUUCCACAAUGGACGAAAGUCUGAUGGAGCAACGCCGCGUGAGUGAAGAAGGGUUUCGGCUCGUAAAACUCUGUUGUUAAAGAAGAACAUAUCUGAGAGUAACUGUUCAGGUAUUGACGGUAUUUAACCAGAAAGCCACGGCUAACUACGUGCCAGCAGCCGCGGUAAUACGUAGGUGGCAAGCGUUGUCCGGAUUUAUUGGGCGUAAAGCGAGCGCAGGCGGUUUUUUAAGUCUGAUGUGAAAGCCUUCGGCUCAACCGAAGAAGUGCAUCGGAAACUGGGAAACUUGAGUGCAGAAGAGGACAGUGGAACUCCAUGUGUAGCGGUGAAAUGCGUAGAUAUAUGGAAGAACACCAGUGGCGAAGGCGGCUGUCUGGUCUGUAACUGACGCUGAGGCUCGAAAGUAUGGGUAGCAAACAGGAUUAGAUACCCUGGUAGUCCAUACCGUAAACGAUGAAUGCUA
rnacentral:rRNA from 2 species